CAACAUCGAAAUUCGCUAAAUUGUUCACUUUUCAAUGCAAUUUCGAUUUUGUUCAUGAAGCGUUAAAUGAGGCUAUAGAUUUGACUUUGAAAGCUGUAUUCAUGAAGUUAUCUACCGAACAAUUUGUGUUGUAUCUUAUAGUUUAGUUUACUAUAAGAGAGAGAGUUUUGGUAGAAUGCUCUUUCUUUUGUUUAGUGGAUUUAGCCUUCUCGUUGGUGAGAACCUUAUGUGCCAAUGUUCGUGUAAUGGAAUGGGCUUGGUGCUCUUGGCAUUCGACCACCACCUCUAAUUUGUGUUCUGACUAAAACAUCUCCCAUAAAGUUGGGAUUUUUCUUCUUCUUUGUUCAUGUUCUUAGAGUUUGGCAAAAGUGACUGGGUCGUGGGGAAUCUGUAGAAGACUUUGUAAGGCGUAACCUUGGUGAUGAGGUCUUUUGAGCGCUUAAUUGAAACAUUUUUGUUUAGGUGUUUAUGCUGGUGAUCCUUCAUAACUGAGUAUUAAAGCAGACUGGAGGAGAAUGGUGACAGCAUCAUUGGUGGUACUUUGAAGGCAAUUCAGGAGAGAAAUAGAGCUCCCAAGGAAAACCGAGACCCGUUGGGUAGCAAAGUUAAGGUGUCUUGGAAGCUCUCAAGUAUUACUAAGCUGAAACUCCAGAAAGGAUCUGUACAGAGCAAAGUGUAGUGAUGACUGUCCCAUCUCAUUUGCUAGUAGUCUCUUGCACCCACUCUAUAAUUUCCCAAUGAUGAGUGACUUGAUGAUAAAGUUGCUGAAGCUGUGUCAUUCAUCAUCUGGUCAUGAUGGGAUAUUCUUGGGUGGCAAUUAUGAUGCUGCUGGUGUAGCAUUGGGUCGGUGUGUGGAAAGGACUUACGAAACUGCAACCCAAGUCAAUGAUUUCAUCUCUAGGUACGCUUACAAGUAACAAAAAUACUAAAAAUAGCCAAAUAGAUAUUAAGAUUGCAGUUUAGACUUUGACAGAGUAUGUGAAGGUUCCAUUAAUAUUCUCAUAAGUAUUACUAUAAGUUGUGGCCAAAAGAGCAAAAAUUACACAAAGCGGGAGAAAGAUAGUAGAAGUCUAGAACAAAUCGAUCAUAACUCUUGAAUCUUGAGGAUCUUCGUGAAGAGGUGAGAUCUUGAAACUGUCGAGUCUUGGAGAUUUCUGUUGCUGCGUGUAAUGGGAAGAUGAAGAAGAAGAAGAUGGUGGGAGAAUCAUGGAGGACGAAGAAGGGAAUUCAGGGUUUGUAGGGUGAAGGAUUUGUGUGAGUAGAAGAACAAUUGACGCCAUUGAUGAUCAACUUCGAAGAAAGCUUGUGUGUGUGAUUAGGGUUUUGGAGUAGAUUUUGUCUUCUCAUGUGAUUCUUAUCUGUCUUUAUAUAUAGAGAAAAAAAGUGUGGGCCUGUGGUAUUGUGGAUCGAUGAUGUGUCUGUGUUUUAGAAUCCAGUGGGACUCUUAAAUCUUUGGGUGGCAAGUGGUUUUUGUCUGACUUUUGUGUCGCAUUUA